AUGUCCUCCUUCUCUGAGUCGGCGCUGGAGAAGAAGCUCUCGGAGCUGAGCAACUCUCAGCAGAGCGUGCAGACCCUGUCCCUUUGGCUCAUCCACCACCGCAAGCACGCGGGACCCAUCGUCUCCGUGUGGCACCGCGAGCUCCGCAAAGCCAAAUCAAAUAGAAAGCUUACUUUUCUGUAUUUAGCGAAUGAUGUCAUCCAAAACAGUAAAAGGAAAGGACCUGAAUUCACUAGAGAAUUUGAAUCUGUCCUUGUGGAUGCUUUUUCUCAUGUUGCCAGAGAGGCAGAUGAAGGCUGUAAAAAACCUUUAGAAAGAUUGCUGAACAUCUGGCAAGAACGAAGUGUGUAUGGCGGCGAGUUCAUACAGCAGCUGAAGCUGUCUAUGGAGGACUCCAAGAGCCCUCCCCCCAAAGCAACAGAAGAGAAGAAAUCUCUGAAACGAACUUUUCAGCAAAUUCAAGAGGAGGAGGAUGACGACUACCCUGGCAGCUACUCUCCUCAGGAUCCUUCUGCAGGACCCCUCUUGACUGAGGAACUAAUCAAAGCUUUGCAGGAUCUGGAAAAUGCCGCAUCAGGGGAUGCUACUGUCCGACAGAAAAUUGCUUCUCUGCCCCAGGAAGUGCAAGAUGUUUCUCUAUUGGAAAAAAUAACAGACAAAGAGGCAGCUGAACGUCUUUCAAAAACAGUAGAUGAAGCAUGUCUGUUACUAGCAGAAUAUAACGGGCGCCUGGCAGCAGAACUGGAGGACCGUCGCCAGCUGGCUCGGAUGUUGGUGGAGUAUACCCAGAAUCAGAAAGAUGUUUUGUCGGAGAAGGAGAAAAAACUAGAGAUAUGGCUCAUUCAUUCGGCACAUGUGCUGGGUGCCUACUGUUUGCUGGACACUGCGGAGCCUGGUGGAUGCUGGGGGAAGCAGAUGGGUCUGGUCCUGGCCUCCAGGAGCUUACUAGUUAAAUGUGGGAGUCAUUGCUAAUCAUUUACACUGCGUGAGGAGCUCUCAUUGCGGGUAGGAGACUGAUUGCCUGCAGUAAUGGGGAGAGGAUAUGCCUGGUUCCCUCCUCUCACUCCUUGCUUGGACUUUUGUCUUUACAACUUGAACUAAGUAUUCUCCAUUUGACCUUUUUCCUGCCUCAUUAUUCUUCCCAGACAUUCUUUAGCUUCUACUUUCUGCCUCUUCAGGUGUGCAUCAGGGAUCUGGUAUCAAGGAAUUUAGAACUUGAAAAGAAGUGUUAUGGUCCAGUUCCCUCACUUUCAGAUAUGAAAGAAGGGAACACAUCCACGGUCACACAGCAGGUUAGAGGCAGAACCAGGACCAAGCCUAGGUCUCUGCAUCUCAGCCCAGGGCUUCUUGUUAACAUUCCUGCAGGAAGGGCUUUCUAAGUCAGCAGGGGCCCAGCCUCAGGGACCUACUUACCCUUGCAGAGACACUGAGAGGACAAAAACUAAGCCCCAGGGGGGCCAACAGCCCCAGACUUCACAUGGCCUAGGGUUGUUUUCUAUAUAUCUUGGCAGAUUUAUCAAGAGUACCUUUUUCCGGGAGCUGAGGAAAGAAAAAAAAUAUGCCCCAUUCCUAUCAUUAGGGGAUUCAUAUUCUAGAGGAACAUAGAAGUCUCACAUGUAUGGAGAGAGCAUAGAGCAGCUUGCUAGGGGCUCAGGUACACACCCUGUGUGAGGGAGAGCUCUGGAGCAGGAGGAGAUGGGGAGUCGUCUCCUGGAUGCAGAGCAAGGAUUUUCCUAGAGAGGUGGAGUCCAGAUAGUCCAAGGAGCAGAGGAGUGGAGGCCAGGCUUUGCUAGGGCUAGGAGAAGAGAGAGACCCCCUCCAGGCUUGUGGGGAAUCCUGAAAAAAUGGUCCACACAGACAAAGAGGGUUAGGAGGUUGUGAGAAACACACCUUGGCAGGGGCUGAUUUUGCAAGACCUUGAACUCUGCUCUGAAGGACCAGAUCAUGGAGCUAGUGGGGUGCCGUGCCUCACUUUCUCAAGGGAGUGGUUUCAUGCAAGCUGGGCUUUUGGGAGAGAAGUCUGGUGGCAUUUUAGGAGCCCUAGGGGUCAGGAGGCCUAACCAGGGACUUACUGCAGUGACUCAGUCAUGGAAUGAGGAGGCCCUGGUCACAGGGAGUAGCAGUGGGGUAUUUUGAGCUUCUAUAGUGCUUGUUUGCAAAACAUGAUAAAUUUGGGUUAAUCUCCAAGCUUUAACAUAGGAAGUAUAACUUCAGUGUUUUUUUUCUUGCCAUAUCUAGGUGGAGUCCGCAAAGAAAUUGUGACGCUCAGGAAUACAAACAGAAGCUUGCACGAGUAACCCAGGUCCGCAAGGAACUGAAAUCCCAUAUUCAGAGCUUGCCAGACCUCUCACUGCUGCCCAACGUCACAGGGGGCUUAGCCCCCCUGCCCUCUGCUGGGGACCUGUUUUCAACUGACUAGGAUGGGUGUCAUGUCCCAGAUUUCUGUUUGUACCAGCAGAAAGAAGAGGGCAAGUCAUGGUUGGAAAUAACCUUCUAGCCCCUGGUUCUAUCCCUUCUUCCGCCCAGCCCCCCAGCCUCAAGAAAGAACCUCAGACUCUGAUUCUUCUCUUCAGCCUCUCAUCUUGAGCACAGUUCAGAACAGUGGCGACUGGAAUUUGGUUUAUAUUCAUAUUUGCAAAGACUACAGACUUUUUCUCCCACUUCAUAUUUUCAUGCCCCCCUGUUGGUUUUCCAUUCUUAACUGUCUCCUUAUACCUAAGAAGUUAUGAAAAUCAUGUGUACUUCUGGAAGCUUUCAAAAGAAUCUUGUCCCUCAUGACAGCAUUUUAUCAUGAAAGCAGCUUCUCCUUUCUGAGCUGGGCUUGUUCAAGUUCGGUGUGGGCUUCCACUAAGGCACUUGUCCUGGAGACGUUGGCUUUCCCAGCUGCAUCUGCCCCAAAAGGUUGUAGGCACAGCUGUCGUAGCGUUGCCAUAAAGAGUUUGCCAAAUCUCUGAUCCUCCCUUUCCAUUGCUUCUCCUAGUGAUGCACGAAGAUUAGGUGCAUUUAUUUUGUAAACAGAUUGGAGAAUCUAGCAAUAAGAUUCAAAGCUAAUCUGGAGCAUAAAGGCACAGUUCAGAGACAGAAUAACAGGGAUCACAAGCAUGAAUUAAAAGUAAUUUAUUUGCUUGAAGUUCCUAGAUACAACCUUCCCAUGCUGCACUUCUCCACUGUCGGAGCACGUUCCGAAAAACAGAAUGCCUUGAUCCCUGGUGGGUGCGAAGGCAGUUGUUAGGGAUGGCAGGCAUUGGUGGGCUCCAAAAGAUGAAGGCCCCACACACAGGUGUGCUGCAUUUGGGAUCUGUGGGGGUGUUUCUUGGACCCUUUCUUCUGGGAGUAGGGUACACACUAACGUUUAAUCUGCUGUCUGGGUGCAUGUCCACAGUACGGUGGCUAAACUCGAACAUCACUGCAAAUAGGAUGCUGAGCAGGUCCGUCUGUCAUGUCACGCCACUGCACAGGUCCUUGUCCCCACACGACGGGGAGUACUUGCGUCAGAUGUUAUUGAAUAGCUCGUCUCGGGCAGGGGAAGUGGGGAGUUGGGGAUAUUAAUUGGGGGUUUUAAUUCUAUUAUCAUGUCAGCUGACAUUAUGACUAUAUAAUGUAGUUAGAGACAAUUUUUAUCUUGCUUAUAGUAAAGGUUCAGCCUGCCAAUUGUAAAUCAUUCUAAUUUGGCAGGCUUAUUUUUGACAUUGGAAAGGGCAGAAAGCGAUUUGCCCCAGUAGUGUAAUAGGAGUUAUAGACCAGAGGCUGAAACCCAAACUAUAUAAAAAGGAAUUCAGUGGAGGGGGCUUUGUAAUCUCCAUUAAUUUGUGUUGCUAUUUCCAGGAUCACCAAAAAUUACAUAUAAUUUUACAUGUUAAACACAUUGAAACAUAACCUAUGUUUAUAAAGCAUAACGGGCUUCCCUUCCAGAAGCUCUCCUGCUUGUCAUGAAGUGAGAACAAUGAAAAGUCGUAGCAGAUACUCAGUUUAACUCUGUGUAGAACCUAGUAGUGUUUGAGCUGUUAUUCAGAUUUGAAUUCAGACUGUGUGUUGUUUGCUUAUGGACACUGCCUGUCGUUCUGUCACUGUUAAAUUAAUGAGUCUAUAAGGUUUUUCUUCCAGAGGCCAUAGGUGACAUCACUAAAAUUGCAAGAUAAAUUGUAAUCUUUGCUGCUGCUGCACUCUCCAACCUCUCCCCCACCCCCCGUGGUGUGCUGCUUUCUAGAUGAGCGUGUUUUGGAGCAGGCCCAUCUGGGACACUCUAUGCUUUCACCAAGGAAGUGCGAUCUGAGCAGCCACAAUCCAGCCAAAAGAGGAUCGUAGAUAUUUGCUCUGAUCAACUAGAUGAAAAUAUAGCAGAAUGGAUUUAGCCCACUGCUCUGUUUUAUCCAACUGAGUCUCUGACCAGCAAUUGGUGCAUAAUUAUUACAGCAAAAGUUAAGAAAUGAAACUGUAGCAAUUAUGUAAAUGAAUGUGUUGGCCUCUUAAUACCUGUUACUAGUGGACUUCCUGUGAGGAAGUUAGUUUUUUGUUUUGAUGAAAUGCUUUCGUUUUUUAAAUCUUAAUUCUGCUGUCCACAUCCUCCCAAAGUGUGCUUACUUCAUUUGUUUAAUUUAAAUGAACUUUCCUCCUUGUAUGUAUGAGGUGACUUGGUGGGUGGGGUGGGUGGUUUUGUUUUUGUGUUUUUUCUUUCUUAGGGCAUCUGUAGGCCUCAAAGGACCUUUCCUUUAGGUCAUAUUCCUCAGAAAGUCUUCAAUCUUCCCUUGUUUUUGUUUGUUUGUUUUUCUUAAAGAAUAUUUUCAAAGCUUAAAUUUGUAUAUUAAUUUAGGACUAUUUAGAAGUAUAGGCUGUCGUUGGCGGCAGCAGUAUAUUCUGAAAUGUCUCAUAGAUAUAUAUUUUUGAAUAAAGAUGGUGUUGUUGAACAA